AGUGAACGCUGGCGGUAGGCCUAACACAUGCAAGUCGAACGGCAGCACAGUAAGAGCUUGCUCUUACGGGUGGCGAGUGGCGGACGGGUGAGGAAUACAUCGGAAUCUACUUUUUCGUGGGGGAUAACGUAGGGAAACUUACGCUAAUACCGCAUACGACCUACGGGUGAAAGCAGGGGAUCUUCGGACCUUGCGCGAUUGAAUGAGCCGAUGUCGGAUUAGCUAGUUGACGGGGUAAGGGCCCACCAAGGCGACGAUCCGUAGCUGGUCUGAGAGGAUGAUCAGCCACACUGGAACUGAGACACGGUCCAGACUCCUACGGGAGGCAGCAGUGGGGAAUAUUGGACAAUGGGCGCAAGCCUGAUCCAGCCAUACCGCGUGGGUGAAGAAGGCCUUCGGGUUGUAAAGCCCUUUUGUUGGGAAAGAAAAGCAGCAGGUUAAUACCCCGCUGUUCUGACGGUACCCAAAGAAUAAGCACCGGCUAACUUCGUG
rnacentral:rRNA from 1 species